UGGGAGGGGGAAGGGACCUUCCUGACAUUGGCCUAUAUUACUCAGGAUGUAGCUCAAGAUCCAGAAGAUGGGCCUCCUGGUAAGAUUCACAUAGCAAUCAUAGAAAAUCGGGCUCAGCACUUGGUGUAGAAUCAGGAAAAUUACAAGAUGAAUGGACCGUUGUGAAUAUGAAACAUAGCCUGUUCUUUAAAGUGAAAAGGAAGGAAAGAAAGACCCUGGCAAUUAUCGCCCUGUAAACAUCAGUUCCAGCUGUAAUAAGUGUGUGUGUGUGUUGUGUGUGUGUGUGUGUGUGUGUGUGUGUGCGCGCGCGCGCACACACAUGCGUGUGGUUAAGUAGCAGGAAAGUGAUGAUAUCAGGAACAAUAAGUGGCUUAGGCUUCAAAGAAACAAAUCAUGCCAGCACAAUAGCUUUUUUUUUUUGACAGAGUUAUGAAUAGAUGGUGGGGAAAUGCAAGAGAUGUAAUAUAUCUUAUGUUAGUAAAGAUUUGAUAUGUCUCAGGAAAUUUUAUUUGCAAAAUUAGCUACAAGAUCACAAAGAAAGGUUAUUGAUAAAUUGCAAAGUAUCUGGUGGUAGGAAGGUGCAGAGAUGGCCGCCUGGGAUGGCCUUAUUUAACAGUUUCAUCAUUAAUUUGGAAGAGGGAGUGAAUCUUUCUCUGUGUUCAUAAAAAUUGCAGGUUAUACGAAAUCAGGACAUGGUGUGAACACUGAUCAGCCAGGGACUGACACAAAGUGGUCCCCAAAGAAGGAAGAUUGGACAGAAACAAGAGGCAACUGAGAAGAGCCACAUUUUUAGUGAAAUUCCACCUUGAUAAACCCUCUGGAAGAAAUAGUUUUUUACAAAGAACUUGGACUUGUUUGGGUAUCCCCCAGGCUUCCACACACCCCAGGAGACACGGGAAGCUGACCACCCCCCCCCCCCCACACACACACACUCCACAGUUCCCAGGAGUGAGCCUGAUUUAAUAAGGAUCAUCUUGUUCCUGCAGAGGAGAGAAAUGAGAAUGUACCAAAUUUCUAGAAGAGAACAAGAUUGCACGGCACCCUACGGGAUGGCUUGCCCUCGGCCUGAGGUUCAUGGUAAUCUUCCAUUCUGUGCCUUUUCUGAGAGACUGGCUUACCAGAGCUGGAGUGUGAGCAGGGACUUAUAACGGCUGGAAGCUCGGCCUCCACAUCCAGCACCCAGGAGCUUCUCCACUCGGCCAGGAAAUUGCCCAGCUGGAUGGUGUCUUGGGAUUGCUCUCCUGGUCCUCAGAAAGGAAGGACAGCAACACCAGCAACAGCUGGCAUCUCUACCUGGUCAAAUAGCCAAGUGGUUAUGAAGGAGACCCUCAGUAACUAUCAGUGGUGGCGGU
rnacentral:lncRNA from 1 species